rnacentral:rRNA from 1 species
GUGCGAACGUUGUUCGGAAUCACUGGGCUUAAAGGGCGCGUAGGCGGGAUGGCAAGUCGGUCGUGAAAUCCUUCGGCUCAACCGAAGAACGUCGGCCGAUACUGCCGUUCUUGAGGGAUGCAGAGGAGAUUGGAAUUCCCGGUGUAGCGGUGAAAUGUGUAGAGAUCGGGAGGAACACCGGUGGCGAAGGCGGGUCUCUGGGCAUCUCCUGACGCUGAGGCGCGAAAGCGUGGGGAGCAAACGGG